AUUGAACGCUGGCGGCAGGCCUAACACAUGCAAGUCGAGCGAGCGGAGGACGGGUGAGUAAUGUCUGGGAAACUGCCUGUUGGAGGGGGAUAACUACUGGAAACGGUAGCUAAUACCGCAUACCAUCAGAUUUGCCCAGAUGGGAUUAGAUAGUAGGUGGGGUAACGGCUCACCUAGGCGACGAUCCCUAGCUGGUCUGCGAGGAUGACCAGCCACACUGGGACUGAGACACGGUCCAGACUCCUACGGGAGGCAGCAGUGGGGAAUAUUGCGCAAUGGGCGAAAGCCUGAUGCAGCCAUGCCGCGUGUAUGAAGAAGGCCUGCGGGUUGUAAAGUACUUUCAGCGGGGAGGCGUUACCCACAGAAGAAGCACCGGCUAACUCCGUGCCAGCAGCCGCGGUAAUUC
rnacentral:rRNA from 1 species